rnacentral:rRNA from 1 species
CGAGUGGCGAACGGGUGAGUAACACGUGGGUGAUCUGCCCUGCACUCUGGGAUAAGCCUGGGAAACUGGGUCUAAUACCGGAUAGGACCAUGCUUUAGUGUGUGUGGUGGAAAGUUUUUCGGUGUAGGAUGAGCCCGCGGCCUAUCAGCUUGUUGGUGGGGUAAUGGCCUACCAAGGCGGCGACGGGUAGCCGGACUGAGAGGUUGGUCGGCCACAUUGGGACUGAGAUAUGGCCCAG